UACAGAGGUCCCAAGCGUUGUUCGGAUUCACUGGGCGUAAAGGGUGCGUAGGCGGUCGGGUAAGUCUGAUGUGAAAUCUCGCAGCUUAACUGUGAAACUGCAUUGGAUACUAUCCGGCUAGAGGAAUGGAGGGGAGACUGGAAUACUUGGUGUAGCAGUGAAAUGCGUAGAUAUCAAGUGGAACACCAGUGGCGAAGGCGAGUCUCUGGACAUUUCCUGACGCUGAGGCACGAAAGCCAGGGGAGCAAACGGG
rnacentral:rRNA from 1 species